rnacentral:rRNA from 1 species
CCAAUAGCGUAUAUUAAAGUUGUUGCAGUUAAAAAGCUCGUAGUUGAAUUUCGGGAUCAAUACGUCGGUCGUGCCUCGGUACGUACUAACGUUAUUGGUUUCUCCCUUCUAACAAAUCGUGAUGUCAUUAAUCUGGUGUUACGGGGAGUUAGGACUGUUACUUUGAAAAAAUUAGAGUGUUUAAAGCAAGCAAUCGCUCGAAUACAUUAGCAUGGAAUAAUGAAAUAGGACGUUCGACCCUAUUUUGUUGGUUUCUAGGAUCGACGUAAUGAUUAAUAGGGAUAGUUGGGGGCAUUAGUAUUCAAUUGUCAGAGGUGAAAUUCUUGGAUUUAUUGAAGACUAACUACUGCGAAAGCAUUUGCCAAGGAUGUUUUCAUUAAUCAAGAACGAAAGUUAGGGGAUCGAAGACGAUCAGAUACCGUCGUAGUCUUAACCAUAAACUAUGCCGACUAGGGAUCGGAUGAUGUUAACUUAAUGACUCAUUCGGCGCCUUAC